GACGGAGGAUGCAAGUGUUAUCCGGAAUCACUGGGCGUAAAGCGUCUGUAGGUGGUUCGAAAAGUCCACUGUUAAAAAUUGAGGCUUAACUUCAAAGAUGCCGUGGAAACUUUCAAACUAGAGUAUGGUAGGGGUAGAGGGAAUUUCCAGUGGAGCGGUGAAAUGCGUAGAUAUCUACAGGAACUCCGGUGGCGAAAGCGGCGUGCUGGACCUUUUCUGACGCUGAGGCGCGAAAGCUAGGGGAGCAAACGGG
rnacentral:rRNA from 1 species